rnacentral:lncRNA from 1 species
UUGUGGCGACAGGGUGAAGAACCAAUCUUGCUCCUUGCCUUGUAGAGUGGUGGCGACAAUCUUGCACAUGAGAUCGUCGUUGUUUCGAUAAAGGAUCAUUGCCCUUCGGUAGUGAUUUAACUGUUUCUCCGAGUUUUCAUCUCCUUUGAAGAACAUGAAAUGUGGCAUGCUAAACUUGCAUGGAGGCUCUGUCUGCUCGAACUCGUCCGUGAAGGGUGACUUGUUUAUGUUGGUCAUGUCCCAUCGUAGUGGCUCGUCAAUGACCCCGUUGCGUUAGAAAUCACCAAUUGCUUGGUCAUGAGCCUCUCUACUUCUUCCUAAAUUUGCCUUUGUUGGGGUAGCGAAACUCUCGGUUUCCCCCAAUUGUGACCUACUGGUUUAGGCUGCUCUUCCAUGUGUUCUGCUCAUCUAUGCCAUGGCUACGGUUCAUGUGGUACGUUCCUAGCAAGCGAGCGAAUUCCUUGUAGACUGUCAGUUGAACUUGAGCCGAAUUAAGUGAUUGUUUCCCUCCGUCCGUUGUGCCGCUUACUUCGAUGUGAGGUGGAGGAUGCUCUUUGCAGGCCUAGCCGCGAAUGAACACUUCGCCUGGAAAAUUGUUCAUGAUUAUCGGAGUAUGACCCCAACUGUGAUUGUAUGCUCAUCCAUGGGCCUAAUCGAGAGUGCAUGCUCAUCCGUGCACUAAGACGAGAGUAUACGUAAUCUCGAAGGCCCAGUCAGAAGUGUACACUGCCAGAAUGCUCGGUUUAUGACUUGUUGAGUGGCUAUUUGCUGACGCUGCUGGAGAGGUUCAUCAUCUGCCCUUGUCCUACUUCGGGACACCUCGUCUAGGGCACGCUGCAUCUCGGUAUGCUGCAAGAGUUGAUUCACCAAGGUCGUUUGAUGCGCGAGGGUGCUUGUCAACUCCAUGACUUGUCGAGAAUAGUGUUGUUAGCCAUUUGGGUUGGAAGAGCUUGGACAAUAUGCGUCUCCUUGAGUAGUGGAAGUGUAAUGGACUCCGAGUGUGAGAUUUGAGUUGGGGAAUGUCAAAUCUGCUGAGAAAUGAGGUAAAAAUGCCUUGGUUUUAUCGUUGGCCCAUAAAUCUAAAGUUGGGAUGGUUGAACUGGUAUUGGACUAGUUUUGGCUGCUUGGGAGGCCACGGGAGUGGGUUGCUCCACGUACAACACUCGGAUGUGUUGGGCCUAGGCUCGGCUCGGAAACGCGCUAGGUUCGCUCUGUGUGGUUUGAAACGGCGUGGGGCGUUGUACUGUCUUUGGCGUGGCUUGGGCCUGCGGGCCUUGGGCCGUGUGUUGAGCUUAGGCUUGCGCUGCUGGGGCAAUGACUUAGGCUGCCCUUAGCGCCUGGGCUUGUUGCUCACUGUGAGUUAUAGGCUUGCCAAAAGUGGCAUGGUGUUUGCUGCUAUGGUGGCCAUCGUGGAUUGUCGUGGUCUAAAUUCUUGAACGUUGGAAGUUUCGUUCGUCGUGGUUUCCGAAUUUCUUGUCAUUGUACUUUUCUUUUAUGCUUAUUCAAAGACUUUUUAGAUAAAAAGUUCUAGGAAUGAAAACGUACGAAAAAUCUAUGAAUGCACCUGCAAAACAAUUAACACUUAAGAUCAAGGCCAAGAGCCUCACGCGCCUAUGAUGAAUGGGGAGGGCUUUGGCAGAAGAAUCUUCGAUGCCAAAGUUAGAAUUUGAGAGAGAAAGUGUUUAGAGAAUUUUAGAAGAGAAUUGGACUUAGGAUUUUGGAGAAAUGAGGGGAUAUAUGUAGGGGUGUGGCCAGCCCUAUUUGGAGAAAUAGGGACCGGCCACUUAUGGUGGUUUUUUUGCUCUAAUUGCAAGAUAUUAUGCCAAAUAAUAUCGUGCAAUUAAUUAGGAAAUUAAUCAAUUACUUUUGGUAAUUAAUCCCAAUUUGAAAAGAAUAAUUGGGAGUUACCUUGUGGGUGUGGAUUUGAUGAGGAGUGAUGAGAGGAUUUAAAAGAAUACCAUUUUAAUCACCUUUGACCUCGAUUGAGCCGUUAUUAUUCGUUGCAUGUGAUUGGGAGUCCUGGUGUGACUCAAGGGUAAUUUUAUCUUUUUUAUCCAAAAAUCCACGUGUUGCCUUCAUAUUUUUCUUGAUUAUUUUUUGCUCCACAAUAUGCUUUUUUUUUUUGUAUUGUGAAAAUUGUAAGGAUUACAAGAAUACAUAUAGGGGAUUGAGUGAUUAGAUGAGCACUCAAUUAGGUCCUUAAAUUAUACCAUACAGGCUGACCUAGGGAGCCUAACUAAUCACCUUGAAUUAAGGAGAUGACAACAAGGAAAAGACCUCUUACAAUUGCUAAACUCAAGAAAUUAAGAAACAUCUAUUAACUAGGUAAAACACAUCUCCUAGAGUUGACUUAAACCCUAAGAAACAGCUAUACCGAGAAACCCUAAUAUCCAAAGGGUCUUGCAAUAUACUAAACACUAAGGCCUUGUUUGGUAGCCCGUAUAACAGACCAGAUAGAAUAACUAGUACGGUUCCAGGUGUUUGGUGUUGUUUUGUACUAAAUAAUACCCGAACUAAUUAUACUAACCCCACACCUUUUAUACGGUGUACACCUGCUAAGUUAUCCAACCAAAAAGCUCUGUAUUAUUAGUCGGGUAGUCUCUCGCCCUCUUUGUUCCUCUCGUCGCUCGCUCUACUCCUCUCACAUUGCUUGCUCUCUCCUCUGAAUCCAAGGUUCUUCCUCCUCUUCUGAAUCUGAGGUUCUUCUUCCUCCUCUCUGUUCCUCCCUCCUCCUAUUUUUCUUGCAAUUUUUCUUCUUCUCUCUCUGUUCUGUCCUCCUAUUUUUCUUCCAACUUUUUUUUUUUCAAUCAGAUUGAAUCAGAUUGUUGUUUUUGUCUCUAAUUUUGCAAUUGAUUUUAUAAAUUUUCAAUUACUAAAGAACCCAUAUGCCUUCUUUGGGUCAUAUCCUUCAUAACCAUUCCACUUUUGCUGUAUUGAUUUGUAGCUAAAAAAAGAGAAGGAUUGGGAAAAAAAAUGAUGCGAAUUUGGAA